ACGGCUCAGUAACACGUGGAUAACCUACCCUAAGGAAGGGGAUAACCUCGGGAAACUGAGGAUAAUACCCUAUAGGUUACAGACGCUGGAAUGCCCUGUAACCGAAAGCUCCGGCGCCUUAGGAUGGAUCUGCGGCCGAUUAGGUUGUUGUUGGGGUAACGGCCCAACAAGCCGAUAAUCGGUACGGGUUGUGGGAGCAAGAGCCCGGAGUUGGAUUCUGAGACAUGAAUCCAGGCCCUACGGGGCGCAGCAGGCGCGAAAACUUUACAAUGCGGGAAACCGUGAUAAGGGAACCCCGAGUGCCUGUAUAUGCAGGCUGUCCAGGUGUCUAAAAAACACCUGAAGAAAGGGCCGGGCAAGACCGGUGCCAGCCGCCGCGGUAAUACCGGCGGCUCGAGUGGUGGCCACUUUUAUUGGGCUUAAAGCGUUCGUAGCUGGGUUGUUAAGUCUCUUGGGAAAUCUGACGGCUCAACCGUCAGGCGUCCAAGGGAUACUGGCAAUCUUGGAACCGGGAGAGGUGAGGGGUACUUCGGGGGUAGGAGUGAAAUCCUGUAAUCCUCGAGGGACCACCUGUGGCGAAGGCGCCUCACCAGAACGGCUUCGACAGUGAGGGACGAAAGCUGGGGGAGCAAACCGGAUUAGAUACCCGGGUAGUCCCAGCCGUAAACGAUGCGCGUUAGGUGUAUCGGUGACCACGAGUCACCGAGGUGCCGAAGGGAAACCGUGAAACGUGCCGCCUGGGAAGUACGGUCGCAAGGCUGAAACUUAAAGGAAUUGGCGGGGGAGCAC
rnacentral:rRNA from 1 species